rnacentral:snRNA from 1 species
GGAUGUGAGAGUGAUCUGGCUGCGACAUCUAUCACUCCACUGAUUGCCAGGGUUGAUUUGGCUUAUCUGGCUGGCUAAGCAGAUGUCCCCUUCCUCACUCACUGCUCCAUGUGUGUCCCUCCUGAAGCUGUGCACCUGGUUGAAGAGAAUGACCUUCCCAGAUAAAAGAGGACCGUUCUUUGGUUGAGGGUAUACUAGUAGCUGCACUCCCCUGCUAGAACUUCCGAACAAGCACUCAAAAGCACAACAAGCAAACAAAGGAAAAGUAGAUAAACUGACAUGAUCAGAAGCACAUCAAGAAAGUGAACAGAAAAUCACAGAAUGGAAGAAAAUAUUUCCAAAUAAUUUAUCU